UAAGACUUGUAUAAGAUUAUUACACAUCACAUGAACGCAAAUCAAGCACUUUUAUUAAGCUAAAGCCUCC
rnacentral:tRNA from 1 species